GAUCAAUAAUACGGUUAGAAGAGGGAGAGAGUAUACAAUUUGUAAUUAAACCUGAUAAAAGAAGGUUAAACCGUUACAAGAUUGUUAAAAUGUUAUUUUUUAAAUAGUAUUAGACAGUUGUUCGUUUGCUAAAUUAAUAUUUAUUAAAAAAAAUAACACAAGGUUUUUAAAACGUUUGUACAUUGGAUUUUUAAGUCAUUACUAUUGAUUACAAUUUGUUAAAUACAAUCUAAUUGUCGCUAUAUCGGUACAUGAUUAAAGUAAGCAUUUACACGUAAUUUAUAGUGUAACAACUAACCCAUAGAAUGUAACUACUUACCACGCCAUGUUGCUAGUUGUAAAAUUUUAAAUGAACAAAUUUAAUACUAUAUAUUGUGUGAAAAAAAAAAAUAUAAUUAUUGGUAAAAAUUGGCUACUGAAUAGGAUAUAACCCUAAAAAAUAGACUUAUCGCCAUUAUAAAAAUAAUAAAAAUUUUCAAAAUGUAUUAACUAAUCUCACUCUCCCAUAAUAUUAUUUAAGUAAUUAAUUCAGUCAGUUCGGUAAAGGUUUUUUAAUGUGAAAUACAGGAUAUAUUAAUUGAGUAAUAGGAGUUGCACUAAUAAUGUAUAAAGGAAUUGAAAUAAUUUAAUUUUUGGAAAUAAAUCAUAUUUUAUUUACCUAUUAUUUAUAAAGAUGUAUUUUUAAAAUGAAUUUUAGUUAGGGGCAACAACAAAAACAUCCUGCUUUUCCAUGACAUAUAGUUGGUUUUUCAGGGUUAUUAGAACAGGGGUCGGGAAAUACGUUAAUUGGAAAACAAUCCUGGCCACACUGGACGUCGGCAUUUG